rnacentral:tRNA from 1 species
UGACCCCAACCACCCUUAGUGAC